UAGGGGGCAAGCGUUAUCCGGAUUUACUGGGUGUAAAGGGAGCGUAGACGGCAUGGCAAGUCUGAAGUGAAAGCCCGGGGCCCAACCCCCGGACUGCUCUGGAAACUAUGAGACUGGAGUGCAGGAGAGGUGAGCGGAAUUCCUAGUGUAGCGGUGAAAUGCGUAGAUAUUAGGAGGAACACCAGUGGCGAAGGCGGCUCACUGGACUGUAACUGACGUUGAGGCUCGAAAGCGUGGGGAGCA
rnacentral:rRNA from 1 species